GUAGUCCUGGCUGUAAACGAUGUCGACUUGGAGGUUGUGCCCUUGAGGCGUGGCUUCCGGAGCUAACGCGUUAAGUCGACCGCCUGGGGAGUACGGCCGCAAGGUUAAAACUCAAAUGAAUUGACGGGGGCCCGCACAAGCGGUGGAGCAUGUGGUUUAAUUCGAUGCAACGCGAAGAACCUUACCUGGUCUUGACAUCCACGGAAGUUUUCAGAGAUGAGAAUGUGCCUUCGGGAACCGUGAGACAGGUGCUGCAUGGCUGUCGUCAGCUCGUGUUGUGAAAUGUUGGGUUAAGUCCCGCAACGAGCGCAACCCUUAUCCUUUGUUGCCAGCGGUCCGGCCGGGAACUCAAAGGAGACUGCCAGUGAUAAACUGGAGGAAGGUGGGGAUGACGUCAAGUCAUCAUGGCCCUUACGACCAGGGCUACACACGUGCUACAAUGGCGCAUACAAAGAGAAGCGACCUCGCGAGAGCAAGCGGACCUCAUAAAGUGCGUCGUAGUCCGGAUUGGAGUCUGCAACUCGACUCCAUGAAGUCGGAAUCGCUAGUAAUCGUGGAUCAGAAUGCCACGGUGAAUACGUUCCCGGGCCUUGUACACACCGCCCGUCACACCAUGGGAGUGGGUUGCAAAAGAAGUAGGUAGCUUAACCUUCGGGAGGGCGCUUACCACUUUGUGAUUCAUGACUGGGGUGAAGUCGUAACAAGGUAACCGUAAGGGAACCUGCGGCUGGAUCACCUCC
rnacentral:rRNA from 1 species